rnacentral:lncRNA from 1 species
UAGUAAUGAAAUCUUUUGAAUUCAUGUGUGUAUACCUAUUAAAACAAUUUUUUUUUUGUUGAAGAAAGCAAAGAAAUAUUUAACACCGGGGGUAAUACGUUUUCUUACAACAAAGCAUAGGGGGUAAUAAGUAAGAAUAAUAUAGUCAUUUAACACCGGGGGGUAAUACAUUUUCUUACAACAAAGCAUAGGGGGUAAUAAGAAAGGAUAAUAUAGUCAUUUAACAUCCCAGUUAACAGAGCUGUUAAGUUUUUUAACAUCGGGGGGUAAUAUUGUAGCGUUUUUCAAUAGUUGAGAGGUAAGACAACAAGAUUUUCAUAUUAGGAGGUAAGAGUGUCAGUCACAUAUAACUCCAGAGGGUAAAAUUACAGUUUACUCUUAAUAUAAUCACCAUUAUGUAAUAAUUGCAUAGAUCCUAAAGUGUACAUUAUCACGAAAUUUUUAUGACCCGAGUUGGUCUAGCGAUUGUUGGGAUUGAACCCUAACAGAGGAACAGAUAAUGUAAAGCCAAAACCGGAUCCCAUCAGUGGACACUUAAUAAGCAGCAGUUUACUCUAAUCUCUCCCCUUGACAGUGGUUAUCUAACAGCUGAUGGAUGUUAAGUGCUGCUCAACUACAACGACUGAUAAACCAAACUCUGAUGAUUAUCUAACAACUGCUGAAGACAAACUCUGUUGCUCUAUCUACUGUUGUUUUGUAUAGAACAGUAUUUAUAGUUUGUUAGGUCGUUAGAUGUCACUAUCAUGGUGACGUCAGCUGAAGCAUAUCAGUAGUUUGGUUUGCCUAUAAGUAUGACAGUACUCUGUACUGUUACACUUGAUCGUUUUGAGUGAGUUUUUCUCCUCAAUUCAUUCUUUCAUCUUGUGCAACCAACUCUGGUGUAUCAGGCUGAGGGGGAGUUUAGAUUGUAAGCCUGCACUGUAACCUUUUGCUUUUAUGUAAAUCUUUUGACUCAAUGAAAAGCAAUUGUUUAUCAAUCUAC